rnacentral:sRNA from 1 species
GAAAGCGACGCCUUUUUCCCUGGUCGACCUCCAGAAAGGAGAGCGGAGCCUCUGUCGGGCGAAGGAAACAUUCGCCACGCGGCAGCUGUCCUUCGUUCAUA